GAUAGUGAUACUGUGUGGUGGCUCUCAGGUUACUGACAACACACACACAGCGAGUUGUCAUUAUAGAGAGUGCAUCUGCAUAGGAACAGCCAGCCUGCACUUCAGAUAACUUGGGAGGAGGCAAGCAAACUGCAGAGGCGCCAUGUUGUGACUCAUUUUCUCAGCGUUGAGCCACGUGGCUGACUUGAUCACUUCUUGUUGCUGUACAAAGCAGGAGAAGAAGACAACAGCAGCAGGAUGACUCAACCACUGUAAAGGACAACAACAAGUGUGGACCGUCUGCCAGGACAAAGCCACAUCCAGUCCACACAUCUACUGAUUCUUUUCUUCUUGGGUGAUGCAGUGUUUGUUCCAAUGAUGACUUUUCCGGAAUCUUCCCGUGGGGAAGUCGGAUCACGUCUGACAGCUGACAAGCAUGACACCUUCCCGUUCUAUCAGCCUACGUCAGGGGUGUCCAAACAUUUUCAUCCACUGAAAAUCAAAGGAGGCAAGGGCCACUUUGACAUCUUUUGAUUUAUUUAACACAUUAAAACAAUCCAUCAAUGUGGGUACAACUCUUUGAUGCAAUAAUAUAUUUAUUGUAUAUAUAUACUGUACAUUUCAAAAUAAAGACAGCGAGAUCGUUUUCAGGA